CGCUGGCGGCAUGCCUAACACAUGUAAGUCGAAUGCGAAAGCACCUUCGGGUGUGAGUAGAAAGGCGGACGGGUGAGUAAUGCUUGGGAAUUUGCCUAGUAGUGGGGGAUAACUCGAGGAAACUCGAGUUAAUACCGUAUAUGCCCUAUGGGGGAAAGAUUUAUCGCUAUUAGAUGAGCCCAAGUCAGAUUAGCUAGUUGGUGGGGUAAAGGCCUACCAAGGUAAUGAUUUGUAGCUGGUCUGAGAGGACGAAUAGUCAUACUGGGAUUGAGAUAUGGCCCAGACUCCUAUGGGAGGCAGUAGUGGGAAUAUUGGAUAAUGGGCGAAAGCCUGAUCCAGCAAUGCCGCGUGUGUGAAGAAGGCCUGCGGGUUGUAAAGCACUUUCAGUUGGGAAGAUUAUGAUGUUACCAACAGAAGAAGCACCGGUUAACUCCGUGCCAGUAGUUGUGGUAAUACGGAGGGUGCAAGCGUUAAUCGGAAUUACUGGGCGUAAAGCGCGCGUAGGCGGCCUGGUUAGUCAGAUGUGAAAUUCCCGGGUUUAAUCUGGGAACUGCAUUUGAUAUUGCUAGGCUAGAGUAUGGUAGAGGGAAGUGGAAUUCCAGGUGUAGUGGUGAAAUGUGUAGAUAUCUGGAGGAACACCAGUGGUGAAGGUGACUUCCUGGACCAAUACUGACGCUGAGGUGCGAAAGCGUGGGUAGUAAACAGGAUUAGAUAUCCUGGUAGUCCACGCUGUAAAUGAUGUCAACUAGCCGUCGGGUCCAUUUAAGGAUUUGGUGGCGCAGUUAAUGCGAUAAGUUGACCGCCUGGGGAGUAUGGCCGCCGGUUAAAACUCAAAGGAAUUGACGGGGGCCCGCACAAGUGGUGGAGCAUGUGGUUUAAUUCGAUGCAAUGCGAAGAACCUUACCAGCCCUUGAUAUUCUCGGAACUUUCUAGAAAUAGAUUGGUGUCUUUGGGAAUUGAGUGAUAGGUGCUGUAUGGCUGUCGUCAGCUCGUGUUGUGAGAUGUUGGGUUAAGUCCCGUAACGAGCGUAGCCCUUGUCCUUAGUUGCCAGUAUUUUGGAUGGGAAUUCUAAGGAGACUGCCGGUGAUAAACCGGAGGAAGGUGGGGAUGACGUUAAGUCAUUAUGGCCCUUAUGGGCUGGGCUACACAUGUGCUACAAUGGCCGGUAUAGAGGGUUGCGAACCCGUAAGGGGGAGCUAAUCUUAUAAAACCGGUCGUAGUCCGGAUCGCAGUCUGUAAUUUGACUGCGUGAAGUCGGAAUCGUUAGUAAUCGCAGAUUAGAAUGCUGCGGUGAAUACGUUCCCGGGCCUUGUAUAUAUCGCCCGUCACACCAUGGGAGUGGGUUGCAAAAGAAGUGGGUAGCUUAACCUUUGGGAGGGCGCUCACCAUUUUGUGAUUCAUGACUGGGGUGAAGUUGUAAUAAGGUA
rnacentral:rRNA from 1 species